GACUUACUCAAGGCUACACAGUAAGCCAAUGGCAGAGCACAAUGGCUUGUUUAUAUUUUAAUUGCUGUCCUAGAACUCCAAUGACGUGUGGACAUUAGGGGUUUGAUUCUGCAGGGCGUUGAACUUUCUGGCAGCAACGCAUUUAAGCAAGAGUUUAAUUUUAAGCAUGUGGGUAGUUAAUUGGACUGCUCAUGGGCUUAAAGUUAAGCACAUGCUUAAGUGCUUUGCUGGUUCAGGCCAGAGGGCUCAGCACCUGGCAGGAUCUAGCUGUGUAUAAAGAAAAUGUAUUGCUGAAGGCAAAAUAUCUUGUAAAGCUUCCACUGGUGGCCCCUUUGAAAGUGCUAUUGGAAAUACAAAUAAUUCUGAUACUGAAGAACUGUGAACUAAGAGGGUCACACUGUAAGGAUGAUUGGCUAGUCUUGGUCUUCUUUGGCCUGCAAGCUGUUUCAUCUGCAGACUCAGAGAUGCUCUAAUUCCGGAGUCUUCCAUAUGUUUUUUGGCAAAUCUUCUCAAGAACAUCAUUCAAGGGGGCCCAAUUCCUGCCCACCCCCAACCAGGAUCUGCAUGCUACCCUCCACGCACGUGUGCAGAGUGCAGCACGAAGACCAUGCUAUUACCCAGAACCUUUACGUGAGGAUAUACACAUGGGGUUAGAACAGAAAUUAUGAGGUUUUUAAAAAGAUGUGACGUAAAAUCUCAUGUACCCUAUAGGCUGCCUUUCUGCCUAUAAACCUCAGCCACCUUUCCUGGACUAUCAGAUAACUAUGUAAAAGCUAAAGGGCCAGAGUCUGCCAACAUUGCUCAGGUUGUGUAGUACUCUACUCCCCCAAUUCAAUGGGAUCGCACUAGAGAAAGGUACUGCUCAGUGUGAGUAAGGGUGGCAGAAUCUCCUUACUUUCCUUAUUCAUCCAACUGCAGUAUCUCUGCUCUUCAGGGGCUCAGUCAUUUCAAUGGCUGAUGACAGGAAAAAGUAAUGUAAGGCAUUCCUAAUGGAGUGUAGUGUGUGAGUCAGCAAUUCUGCACCUUCUCAUUCUGUUACAGCCCAGGCAGAGCAAUCUUGGUUACCUUGUCAGCUUUUCCCUGCAGUUCUUACUCACGUGGACCAUCCAGUUGAUUCAAUAGGGAAAGGUUUGCUAGAUCAGACCCCUCUUACUAUGCAAGUGCUUGCUUUGCUUUGAGUGUGAUCAGACAGGUGGUCCCAUAGCAGCACCACCAUCAUCCUGCUACGAAUCUCAGGAAAUCAGAUAAGGAACAUACUUGCAUUGCUGGACUCCAUUGUAAGGUACUACAAUCAGCUUCAAGGAGAGCAGAUUACUGGAUACACUGCGGUUGACCCAAGGAUCACAUUCUUUAGAGGUCAAACAGGAGGCCGUCAGCUUUCAGAGGAAACUAUUUGCCUGCCUUGAUGGGGAAGACUCAAGGGAAUAGUACAGAAUGUGAACUGAGCCUGCAAGCAGGAAAUGGGCCCAAGGAAAAAUGCAAGCUUCUGGUGCUGCUUGUUCCCCAUGAGAUUUUAAACUAGGUAGUAACAUAACCUUGCCAAUAUUUCACUUGUGUGAGGCUUGCAGACCCUUACAUAAACUCACAAGUCUCAUUCUAACCUAAACAACAUCUCCCAGAAUGUUUUUGUGUGCAUCUCAUUUGGUGCAAGCGGGUCUAGUUAAAUGCAAACAAAUUAUUCUCCAGCACCAUUUGUAAGUCACCUCUGGAAGGGAGAAGAUAGCAACAUCAACAGAAAGAGCAAACUUCUUCAAGGCUCUUAUUAAGGAAUCCAUAAAUAUGUCAAUAUGUGGAAGAGCACCUCAAGACCCACAAGGUCAAUACCUGCUUGGACAAUAGACUUCUCUUCUGCUGUGAUUUCUCAGAAUUCACAGUCACCACAGAACUCUGCUGGACCACAGACUCAGCCUACCUGGGGUCAGGUAAGCGGUGGUUUUGGUAUGUAUUUUCUCCGAAGUGUCUUUCUAGACAUUAUCACUUAUCCUGUAUGAGAUUAUGAUGAUGAUAAUUAAUAAUAA